rnacentral:rRNA from 1 species
UACGGAGGGUGCAAGCGUUAUCCGGAUUCACUGGGUUUAAAGGGUGCGUAGGCGGGCAGAUAAGUCAGUGGUGAAAUCUCUGGGCUUAACCCAGAAACUGCCGUUGAUACUAUUUGUCUUGAAUAUCAUGGGGGUAAGCGGAAUAUGUCAUGUAGCGGUGAAAUGCUUAGAUAUGACAUAGAACACCGAUAGCGAAGGCAGCUUACUACAUGUUCAUUGACGCUGAGGCACGAAAGCGUGGGGAGCAAACAGG